rnacentral:lncRNA from 1 species
GACUCUUUCACCAGUCGGGUAUACCUCUCUCCUCUCUCUCGUGUUAUGAUUUAGAAUAAAGGAUUUUAACCCAGCGGCCGAUUUGAGUCAUUUCUUCGUCUGGUAGCUCCCUAGGACCAUCACUUGCAACGAAUGGAGUGGGGUGGCUAAAGAUCUUCCUGCUCGUUGUCACCAUCAAUCUCCAUAUGUGAAGUUAGUUCCUUUUGAAUCUGUGGACAGUGGUAGGAAGUUUUUGGCACGUGCAGAGAAGGUUAGCCCCACUUUCGUUGUUACAAAUCAUUUGUUAGAUGUGAUUCAGACACUGUCACUAUGCUAUGUUAUUCUGGAUGUGAUUAAGACAGUGUCACAGUUUCUACCUAGUAUCUAAAAAUGUUGUCAUCUCAUCAACGGUGCCCUGAGAAAAUUAUUGGGUACCGCUUUAGCAGUUUGUGCAUCCAACUUUGCUCCACACAUCUGACCCGCCAAGCAGUAAAAUACUAAAACUCUACGUCAUGAAGGAACUGGGCAUCGGAGCAACUAGGUGCUCCAGAGUCUGGUUUCCUGAACUUUUCCUCUGGCAUCAGCUCGGUAGUGUAGGGCACCGGUGCCAAAUGUAGCAACAGUUGUUUUGACAUCGGCUUUGGCCUACAUAGUGGAUGGCCUUAGUGUUAUUAAUUCUAUGUUACUAAAUUUGUGCAUGUACACACCUGUUAGUAUCAAUUUGAUGUCAUCCAAACACUGUCGCUAUGUUGUUGCAAUUAUAUUUAGUUUCCUCAUAAAAUGUUCAAUUUGUUAUUUAUAGUACAUGACUAAGAACUUGUAGCAUUGUUGCAGUUAGUUAUAGCUUGUGAUGUUCCUGAAUUUGGUUGUUAUCUAGUAGCAAUUAAUUCAUUUGCAUAUUGAUCUUUUUGAGAAGAUAUGUCAUAAUUAACGUGUUUCUUCAGUUUUUCAAAAUAUGUAUGUGAUGAUUUUCUUUGUUGUUAGAAACUCAUUUUCCCUACAAUUGUUAUUGAUUUAGCUUUAAAUAUUAUAGGAUGAACGUAAGUGUUCUUACCUGUAGUGGGUUGAUCAAGAGUGGCCACAGUAUUUGAAGAUGUGCCUAGCAAAGUUUUGAGCAUGUACGAGGAAGAGAACAGAGAUAAGCUUAGAGAAAAUGUUGUCAAUGCUAAAGAAUAUUUCAAGAUACAGGAAAAAAUAUAAAGAUGGAGAAUGAGCUCAGAUUUUUAAAAUUAGACUUUGCUAAAAUGAUGCUGGCGAAGGAGGAGGCACUUUCCCAAUUGGCCAGUGCAAAACUGGUUCUUAUUGAACUGAAAGCAGAGAUGGAGAAGAUGAACUUGGCUGAUUAUGCAUUAGUCGUUGUACCAGUGAUAGUUGAAAUUCAGAAAGUAUGACUGUCUACACGGCUUGAUAAUGACUUUGUUGCUUGGGCACCCAAAAAAACCCGGUGCGUUUACGGCCAGAAGGGCGUACAUGUUAGCUAGUGAUGAAAUAUCAAAUGCUAGGGAGUCUUUGGCAAGCUCCUGACUUGUUGGAACUGACAAAGGGUGGAACUUUAUAUGGCGUAGUUUAGCUCCCCCAAAAGUUCAAUCUUUGCUUGGCGGCUGGCCAUUGAUUUGCUAGCUAAUUGGACAAAUAAGGUCAUGAAAAAUCUAGAGAUCACUGUAAUGUGUCCUGUAUGUGGAAGUGAAGAGGAAGACUAAUUCCAUGUUUUCUGUACCCACAGCCAUGUCAUGCUCAUGUGGAUGGCUAAUUGGCUAUGACGAAGGAAUGGACUUUGUCGGUACGUUCAUAUAUAAAACCGGUCAGGCGAGACUGGUUUCUACAUCAUUUGUCUGAGUUGUAGGAUGAUGAAUGCGUUUGUAUUAUGAUGCUAUUUCGGAGGAUUUGGUAUGUGCGAAAUGAGGUACUAUACUCAAAACAACCACCUCAAGUGGAUGUUUUUGUCAGAUUCUUGGCUAGUUAUGUGUCCUCCUUAAUAUCCCGUCAAUCUAAUCCAAAUGUGGAUCCAAUACAAAGGAAGACGAUAGCUGUUUUCAAUCAGAUGUCGGUGUCGAAGCAAACCACAUGCAAUAUGAAGGAAGUUGGUGUUGUUUGUUCUUGGACUAGACUGAUAGAGGGCAAAGUCAAGCUAAAUACUAAUGCCUCGGUCUUAGGGGAUGUUUGCUGGAAUAGGUAUGAUACUAAGAGACCAUGAACGACCCAUCAUAUUUAGCUUUUACAAAUACAUACAAUCAUUCCGUGAUGUUUGGAAACUGCUUUUUGCAUUGAAGGAAGAAUUUCGUUGGCGUUACAAUGGACCAAUCUACACAUUGACGUGAAAUCUGAUUGCUUGGAGGCUGUCAUGAUAGGAGGAGGAAUUGGGAAUAAGCCUAAGUACGCUUUUAUUAUUAAAGAGAUUAGUAGUAGUAUGGAUGAGAGAUUAAUCUGGACGAGAGGAGUUCUUGCAAUGCUCAUAUUUGUCCAAGCUCUAAUAAUGUUAGUCAUGUCAUUGUUAAUUUUGGUAGGGUGCAACGCCAAGCUAUGGUUUGUCUAGGCUUUGGCCUAGAAGAGGACUUGAAACUUGUGGGACGAGAUUGUAACACUUAAGUCUGAGUAAUGCAAGAAUUUAUCUCGCAAAAAAGAGAGAGUGAAAUCAAAUUUCAGUUGACUGAAAAAUCAGUAAAGGCGUUUUUUUUUGAGAAACUGGGCCGAUGGAGAUAGACAAUGUACAGUAAAGUGCCGCUGUUGGCCUAGUUGCGAAAUUAGCCCACGUUGGAGCACGGAGUUCGUCUUGGACUCGUGGCUAUUCAGUCUAUCCCCAGUGUUCCUCCCCUCCCCCGCCG